rnacentral:rRNA from 1 species
AAGAGGGAAACGUGGUCACACCAAAUGCCAAGAAACACCCACACAACCAAACUGUUAACCCCACACAGGAGGAUCCUCAAGGAAAGACCAAAAGAAAAGGAAGGAACUCGGCAAACACAAGCCCCGCCUGUUUACCAAAAACAUCGCCUCCUGCAAACACCACNGUAUAGGAGGNCUUACCUGCCCAGU